GGAUGUGAGGGAGACCUGGCUGUGAAAUAUGUCACCCCAUUGAUCACCAGGAUUGACUUGGCUGAUCUGGCUGGCUAGGUGGAUGUCCCCUUCCUCCUCAUCUUUCCAUGUGCAUCCCUCCUCAAGCUAUGUGCUUAGUCAAGGGUAUACAAGUAGCUGAGCUCCCCUGCUAGAACCUCCAAACAAGCUCUCAAGGUCCUUAUGGUCCUUGAGACUCACACCUUGAGACUCACACCUCAAGGAGUGAGUCCUGAGUG
rnacentral:snRNA from 1 species